GACAGAGGGGGCAAGCGUUGCUCGGAAUCACUGGGCGUAAAGGGCGCGUAGGCGGGAUGGCAAGUCGGUCGUGAAAUCCUUCGGCUCAACCGAAGAACGUCGGCCGAUACUGCCGUUCUUGAGGGAUGCAGAGGAGAUUGGAAUUCCUGGUGUAGCGGUGAAAUGCGCAGAUAUCAGGAGGAACACCGGUGGCGAAGGCGGAUCUCUGGGCCUUACCUGACGCUCAGGCGCGAAAGCUAGGGGAGCGAACUGG
rnacentral:rRNA from 1 species